rnacentral:misc_RNA from 1 species
AAGUCGUAACAAGGUUUCCGUAGGUGAACCUGCGGAAGGAUCAUUACCAAAUCCAAAUUACCAACCCCAUGUGAACUUGUUUAUUGUCUGUCUUUGGGGGGUUUUAUGCUUUUAUCGGCUAUAUUAUUCCCCAAAUGAACCCCGCACAUUUCUUUUUUGAAGUGGGCUGGGGCUUCAUAAAAGGACUUAUAAAACUUAACAACUUUUUAAAUUUUAUGUUGGAAUAACUUUUAUUAAUAACUAAUAAAGGACAACUUUUAACGGUGGAUCUCUUGGCUCGU